AGUGGAUGGGGUGGGGCUGACUUUAUGAAUGGCAGGGCUGGAGGAUGGUGGGCUGGGAGAACCCCGAGGGGAUGCUGUGGACGCUGGGACUGCUCUGGCUUGAGAGACUUCCUCUUCAAAUUCCUGGUGAUUGGCAGUGCAGGAACUGGCAAAUCAUGUCUCCUUCAUCAGUUCAUUGAGAAUAAGUUCAAACAGGACUCCAACCACACAAUCGGCGUGGAGUUUGGAUCUCGGGUGGUCAACGUGGGUGGAAAGACUGUGAAGCUCCAGAUUUGGGACACAGCCGGCCAGGAGCGGUUUCGGUCGGUGACGCGGAGUUACUACCGAGGGGCGGCUGGAGCCCUGCUGGUGUAUGACAUCACCAGCCGGGAGACAUACAACUCGCUGGCCGCUUGGCUGACAGAUGCCCGCACGCUGGCCAGCCCCAAUAUCGUGGUCAUCCUCUGUGGCAACAAGAAAGACCUGGACCCGGAGCGCGAGGUCACUUUCCUGGAGGCCUCUCGCUUUGCCCAGGAGAACGAGCUAAUGUUCCUGGAGACUAGCGCCCUCACGGGUGAGAACGUGGAAGAGGCUUUCCUGAAGUGUGCCCGCACCAUCCUGAACAAGAUCGACUCAGGCGAGCUCGACCCCGAGAGGAUGGGCUCGGGCAUUCAGUACGGGGAUGCCUCCCUUCGCCAGCUGCGGCAGCCUCGGAGCGCCCAGGCCGUCACCCCUCAGCCAUGUGGCUGCUGAGAUGUGCACGGAGCCAGAACCACCCAUGGCUCCCAGGGUCCAUGGGACAGAGCCGAAGCUCAUAGCCUGGUGUUUGCCCCGCCAGCCUCACCUGCCUCAACUCAACACCUCUCCCCACCGCUCAGGCUGCUGCAGACACCCUGAAGUUCUUCCCGUUUCUCUGGGUCUUCAUUCAUGCUGUUCCCUCUGUCAGAAACACUGUUCCUUCCCUCUCUUCCCUCCUCCCCCUCCUUCCCCUCCUCCAGGAAGCCAUGCUUCCCCUAUGCUUGGUCCACACUUCUUGCUGGUCUUGCAGGGUCCUACAGGAUAAGGUCCCAUCCCCACCUCUUCGAGAGUGUGUGUGUUCUGCCAAUUCUCCCUGUGCUUCACAACUCCCCCCGCCUCCCCUGCCUCCCCUGCUUCCAGCCAUUGGUGGCUCCAGGGUGGCUGUGGGGAAAAGUGCUCAGACCUUGGAUAUACUUUGAAGGCAGAGCCAACAUGAAUUACUGAUGAAUGGAUGUGGCAUUUGAGAGAGAGGAGUCAAGGCUCAUCCGUUCUCCAGGACCAGCCCUGCCCUUCGGGCCGGGGCCCAGACCCAGGCCCUGGGAGGCCGAGCCCCUCACCUGUCCUGGCCCCAGAGAAGCUGCCCCGCCACCUGUCCCCCUUCCCUGGCCUGGUGGGGCCUGGCUGAGGGGCAAGACUGAGCCACGGGGGAAGGGGGAAUCCGUACCUGCUGCUGCUUCCUCUGUCUUGGCUAAUCCCCAUCCCCACAGAACCCCUAACCAUAUUCGAAGAGUUCCCAAAGCCUGAGACCAGGGCAUUUGGCCCCAGCUCCCCGCCAUUGCGAGUACGUGUUAUUUAUUGCCUGGAGGCCUGUCCAGUCCCCACCACCCCCAUAAAGCAUUGUUUACACCUG